rfam:Asian citrus Psyllid, Diaphorina citri - Florida Strain, whole genome shotgun sequence.
GCCUAGUUAGCUUAGUUGGUAGUGCGUCUGCCUUGUAAGCGCUAGGCUGCUGGUUCGAUUCCCGCCCGGGGCG